AACGACCAUACCAUGCUGAAUAUACCGGUUCUCGUUAGAUCACCGAAGUCAAGUUUCAUUGGGCGCGGUCCGUACUUGGGUGGGUGACCACCUGGGAACACCGCGUGCCGUU
rnacentral:rRNA from 1 species